rnacentral:snRNA from 1 species
AUACAUACCUGGACGGGGUCAAUGGGCGAUCAACAAGGUCCAUGGCCUAGGUUGGUGACCUCCAUUACACUUUGGAGGGGUGCCUGCCUAAGGUCGGCCCAAGUGGCUGAGCCUCCGUCAUAAUUUGUGGCAGCACGGGCCUGCAUUCGCGUGGCCCCUAC